GUAGCUUAGAUAUGGCUACUUUUUUCACAAAAGAGCUUACAUAUUUGUACAGUUGAAAACCAUAUUAAUCUUGGUUGCUAAUUAUGUUUCCUAAGUUGUAACAUAAGCAAAAUGGUGACCACUAGUACAUACUUAUAGAAUUUUAUAUUUCAACCCUUUAUACUCUAGAAACAAAGAUCAAGGAAACAAAAUGGUGAACUUUCGUGGCAGUUACAUUAAAUUCGUGGAAUCAUAUUGUUAUUUGUUUUUUGGUUCGACUUAUAAGACAGACUAAAGCACUUUUGAUUAUCAUUGAUUUCAAAUUUUGCAUAUUCUAAUUGCUUUACACUUCGUAUUUCUUGGUUGUUUAUAUUUCUUUCUGGUGUAAAUAAUGGAUAUGAAUGGAAUGCCACUGGUUGCAGGAAAAUGAAACAUUUAUUGACGAUGAGAUUGCAAUAGAGCCUUUUAAUCUGAAUAAAGAGAGAAGAAGGCUAUUUUGAUACAUCACAAAACUAUGUUGAAUAUUUAAAUAAAAAUGAGAUUAAGGUUACAUCAAACAUUUUCUACCUCUAGUCCCCAAUCCUUGCAUCUUUUUCUGAUCACAGUAAGUGUACAGGAUGCUUGGCUUGAUAGUGUUGAUACUGAGAAAAGAUUUUCUAGGCAGAAUGCUAUCUAAGUAUCAAAUGAAGAUGUGAUUCAAGACCUUACAUCAGAACAACCAAGAAAGAUGAAGAGGCGAGUUGCUGAUGUGGUCGAGUCAGGAGAAACAAUAAGUCUACCUGGCUGAGAUUUAUAUAUGGGUGGCAAUGGUGGUUCUAACCCUGUUUAGGCCAUUGCUCAGAGCUAUUAAUUGGCAAAAUGGAUGGAGAAUAACUCUUCAUAUACUGCUCAACUGUGUAGCAUUCAUGAACAUACAUUUCAGGUGCAGUGAGUAGCUUCUGUGCCCUAGAAUGAGUUUCUGAAUUUUGUUCCCAUGUAAGAGGAAACGCAACUGAAAGAGAGAAGUUGUAAUCAACCAACAAUUACAAAGUUACUCAAUCAUCCAUGGAUAAAACCAUUACUCUGCAUCAAUGGAAGAAGAGAGAAAGGUAGGAUGCG